UCUAAGUCAGCCAGUGUCAGAUGCCGCGACGGGAGGGGGUAGGGGGCACCAACCUAAUAGUAAGAGGCAGGACACCCCACUCGAUGUACCCGUUAUCAGAAAGCGGGAACGCGCGCACGGGAGGUAGCUGCAGCAGGAAGGAUGACAAAAACUAUGCACCACAAGAGAGCUCCUUUAGACGACUGCACUGGUUUUAUAGAUGAAACCGUCAGACCAAUAACAAGAUCUGGAUAGUUCCAGAAAGAUGUUUUAUAACAGCCAAAAAUUGCUCUGAAAUUUCACUCAGUGAUGUUUACCAGGGGCAUCAUUGGUCACUUGUUUUUGCCUAUUGAAGGGGAAAGACUUGACAAGAUUCAAGAUUUCACUGUUCUCAUAAAAAAGACCUGAUCACAAAAAUAAAAUACACAUUCAUGAUGAAGAUGAUGCACUCUUUUAUCUGGGGAUCUGGAAUAUCUACUCAUGUGUACAUCUCUUCACUUACAUUUUAAAAAAUGAAUAAAAAUAGUAAGAUACUGUACCAAUACCAGAUGCAAAUAAACAAGAAGAUUAUG